AUACGUAGGGGGCAAGCGUUGUCCGGAAUCAUUGGGCGUAAAGGGCGCGUAGGCGGAUAUUUAAGUCUGAUGUGAAAACCUAGGGCUCAACCCUGGGACUGCAUCGGAAACUGGGUAUCUUGAGGACAGGAGAGGAAAGUGGAAUUCCACGUGUAGCGGUGAAAUGCGUAGAUAUGUGGAGGAACACCAGUGGCGAAGGCGACUUUCUGGACUGUAACUGACGCUGAGGCGCGAAAGCGUGGGGAGCAAACAGGAUUAGAUACCCUGGUAGUCCACGCCGUAAACGAUGAGUGCUAGGUGUAGAGGGUAUCGACCCCUUCUGUGCCGCAGUAAACACAAUAAGCACUCCGCCUGGGGAGUACGGCCGCAAGGCUGAA
rnacentral:rRNA from 1 species